UACGGGGGGGGCAAGCGUUGUUCGGAAUUACUGGGCGUAAAGGGCUCGUAGGCGGCCAACUAAGUCAGACGUGAAAUCCCUCGGCUUAACCGGGGAACUGCGUCUGAUACUGGAUGGCUUGAGUGUGGGAGAGGGAUGCGGAAUUCCAGGUGUAGCGGUGAAAUGCGUAGAUAUCGGGAGGAACAUCAGUGGCGAAGGCGGCUGCCUGGCCCAAUACUGACACUCAGGUGCGACAGCGUGGGGAGCAAACAGG
rnacentral:rRNA from 1 species